ensembl:lncRNA
UAGCUAGUCCUUUUUUCCUCAUGAUGUUACUGUGAUGUAUCAUCUCUUUGAGGUAUUAUUCUUAAUUUAAUAUUUUCAUGUAUUUGUUCCAUCACAUCUGGUUUACGUAGUUCUGAUGUCUUUUCUUAUUGUAGUUUGAUGCCUAAAUAUCUAUUAUUUUGGAUUUUGAACUUGUUUUUCCCUGAAGGUACCACAUUCUUGGCUUGUAGUGUGUAUAAGGUGGGAGGAACAAGGCCAAGAACUUCCUUAUGUUUCUGGUAGGUUUAAAGUGUAAAGCAGGGGAAGAAUUCUCCAUGGCAGAGGUCACAGUACCAGAGCUGAGCUUGGACAUCCAAAUUGGAAUUUUCUCUUCAGAAAAUUCUGAAUCUCAAAAAACUGUGUCACCUGUUCCAUUAGCUUUUCUCCCUCUUUGUUCUUGGUGCUAUCUGAUGUAAUAAUUAUCUCAGAGGAAUGCAACAGAGAGAAGAAAGUCAACUUCAAAGCUCUCUUUCUGCCUAGACCUCAUGCAUAGCAGCAAGUUACAGCUGACUUCAUUACUCUCAAGAAUUCCUCAUGGGAGAAAUGAUCUUUACACACAACUUUGAUUUCCAUGGGACACAUACUGUGAUUUUUACUUGGAGAAUAACCAAAAUUGGAAACAAGAGUGCAACUGCCUGUCUUGAUACCCCUAUAUUCCUGUGAAACCCACUUGUCCCCUGAGGUUACCUGAAGAUGAUGUAUCAGUCGGAAUGCCUUUGACAAGUUCCAGUGUCAGCUGUGUUGGCUUAAACAAAAAGUACUGCAUAAGCUUCCAUAAAAAGAAAUCUCGAGGCAGGCAGCCGGUGGCUGAAUCUUUCCAUGUUCUGAUAUACCAGUCAGUCUAAGGUUUAUCCGACCUCCACUCGCUCUGUGGUUGUAGGAUGGCUAUGAAAUGCCUGUAUCUUCAUUCACUUGACUCUUCAGAGCCCUUUAAUUCAUUUCCCCAACAAUUGCAAAUCUCAAUAUUUGCAUGUUAAUAAGAUCUGCUGAAGAAAAACAUUCCUAUCUGCUCUCAUUUUUUUGCAGCACAAAAUCAUGACAGUGACUGGGUUUCAUCAUUUUUUUGCUCACAAAUUUCUACACACGGAGGGGAGCAAUCAUCAGAUUUAUCUUAAGAAUAAUUUCAACUUUAUAAUACUUUCAGAAGCCAUAGAUACAAUCAAUUUUGAUUUUAAAUACUAUUUCUUUUCCUCAGUUUCACUUUAUUUUGUUUUCCUUUUAGCUAGUUCAAUGUCUAUAGUUUGUCAGUAAGAAAUGAACACAUUAAUAAGAGUAUUUAUAGGAAAUAUUCUUUAGGAAUCAUUUCUUAAAAAUAGUCCUAUAUUUUAAAGCACAAUUUAUUUUUAAUUGAAUAUCCAAUUCGCUUAUGUCAAAUAUAAAUAAUUGAUUCUUAUGGAAAUUACAAACAGAAAAAGAAAAAUCUCUCCAAUAACAUUACCAAAAAUUAAGGACUGUGAACAUGUGUUGCUUUCCAGAUUUUGUUUAAGAUUUCUGUUAUAAUCUUACCCACAUGUAAAUUGUAACAUAUCCAAUAUAUAGUUUGUCUUAUGAUAUGUUCUCUUAGCCUUAUGCACAAAAGAAUUUUCCCAUGCCACUAUUUUUAAAAACAGUACUAUGAUAUCCGUAAAAUAUUAAAAGAAUGGAUGUAGUAUUAAUUAUUUCCAUGCUUUUAUUUUUUAGAUUAUUUCUUAUCCUUUUAGUAUUAAAAUACCAUUUUUAUGUAGUGAUUAACUUCUUUGCAUCAAUUACUAUCCACAUUUUUUAUUAAUACUGUAUCUUUAAAUUUAUUUUUUUAAUGGAAUUACUGGUUGGAUAGCAUAUGAUUUCUUAAGUUUUAUCACACAAAUGAACAUAAUUGUUAAAAAAUAUAAUUAAAAAUUUUUUCUGGGCUAUUGAUAAUUUGCCCAGAAUAUAUAUAAAUGAUGAAUAAAUAUAAAUGAUAAAUAUAUAUAAAUAUAAAAUGAUUUCAUGCUAGUUUUCAUGUAUUUUUCAUUUUAUUGCAUCAGUUACAUAGUGAAUCCUAAGUCUUCUGUGACAGCAGCUACUGAAAACUGCAUAUUGCUUUAAAGUCUACAGAAUACAGUGUAGCUUUGAGCACUUCAAUAUUUCUUCACUUUUCAUCUGUAACAUGGAUGCAUAAUUUUGCAGUAUAAGCACAAAAAUUUUGCUUUGUUUUGUUUUGUUUUUGUAAGUAGAGGUUUACAUAAAACCGGUAAUCAUAAAAUCUCUUUAUCAUUUCGCAAAAAGAAAAAGCAACUCUAAUCAGCAAGUUUUAAAAUGGAAGGUUAACUCCAUGGAAAUCUACUUUGAUGUAAUAAAUUCCAUCUUGAUGAUUACAUCUUUAAUGUAUGAAAUUCAGAUGGAAAAAUCAAAGUAAAUUUUUUGGACAUCAUGGAAAGCUAUUUCUA